AGAUUGAACGCUGGCGGAAUGCUUUACACAUGCAAGUCGAACGGCAGCACGGGGGCAACCCUGGUGGCGAGUGGCGAACGGGUGAGUAAUACAUCGGAACGUGCCCAGUCGUGGGGGAUAACUACGCGAAAGCGUAGCUAAUACCGCAUACGAACUCUGGUUGAAAGCGGGGGAUCGCAAGACCUCGCGCGAUUGGAGCGGCCGAUGGCAGAUUAGGAGUUGGUGGGGUAAAGGCUCACCAAGCCGACGAUCUGUAGCUGGUCUGAGAGGACGACCAGCCACACUGGGACUGAGACACGGCCCAGACUCCGUACGGGAGGCAGCAGUGGGGAAUUUUUGGAC
rnacentral:rRNA from 1 species